CAGAGGGGAUACAUGUCUGGGUUUGGUGCACAUGCAAAUGCUCCCCUUCCCAACUCAUCCAAGUCAGCAGCCCUCUUCUGACAGCGGUGUCAGCCUUCACUCUUCCUUGCAUCGCUGCUUUCCUGACUUGUGAUGGUUCAGCCACCCCGGCUCUCACCUCGCCUGUGCCCUCCAAUGUAUCUCUGCACAUUUAUCUCCUUGAACAGACCUCCCCAAACACCAUCGACCCCAAACCCAAAAGCAAAUGGGUAGAGCCUCCAAGCCUUAACCUAGCAGCUGCCUUUUAGCAGAGGCUCCAAACAGGUAGAGGCUCCAAGUCUUAACCUAGCAGCUGCCUUUUAGUAGAGGAGAUGGUGAUAAGCAUCAAAGACUCAGCAGGGGAAGGCAGCAACUCUGAGCAUCAAGCUGCCGCUAGGUGGGAAAAGGAGGGUCAGAGAAGCCGCCUGACGCUCUGCUUGGGAAAACCCAGGGGUUGUAUUUUUGGCAACCAAUUCAUUGGGCCUGUUCAUUGUCGCUACAUUGCUUAGCCCAGUCCAUGCUUAGACUCAUCUCCUCCCUUCCCUGCUGCCACCCUUCCCGACACACUCCCUUUACCUGGUUUGCACUCUGGGAUCACAGCUUGAUAAUCCGCUCCCACACGGAUCAUGCUGUCUGCAAAGGAACAAAAAAGAAAAGAAAAAGAGGCUUGAAGGCCCUGAUGCUCUGGGUGAUGGAUGCUCCAAAGCGCAAAGCCUGGCUUCCCAAGGGCUCUGGGUUGCAAGGAAAAAGAAGGAGAGUCUGCCACUCUGGACAUCCCAGCCCUCCUCUGGUGCCUUAGGGAAAUAUAGUGGUGGCUCCUAUGUAUAGUGAAGGCCCAAAGAAAUAUAUCAUGGGCAUGCAAGGAAGGGAACGAAGCACACCUCUAUCUCUGAAAUGGGGAUGCCUCUAUGUGAAGAAGGGAAAACAUGUUUUGACCUGUAUUUUUGAAAUCAGCCCCAAUUUUUGAUGGUGUUUGCUCUACUUUGGAGUGCAGUUCAUCUGUUUCUGGGUCCCCCUAAUUCAACCCAAGGAAGAGCGAGAUUUAUUUGGCAAGGUCUCUCCCCUCCCCACAAAAUAUUAAGGGUAUCAAAUAAACUCUCAGUAUGAACACAGUCUAGGGUGCCUGCCACCUUGAAGCAAAAGUCUCUUGGCGCUUGCCACUUGGGAACACUGCGAGAAGGAAGGAAGGAAACCUUCCCGAGUGGCACAGGCACCCUUUUUGCGGGAAGUUUGGCUAGCCUGACGCUCCCCCACACCCUGAGCUCCUGUUCCUAAAAAAGAAAGAAAGACAAUCUACCCAACAGCUGCUGAGCGGCAGGCAAGCUCUGGAAACACUUAGCCAACGUCCUGCCAAGGAGCUCCUGAGCUUUCGCUUUCUGGCACAAGGGCCAAGAAACACAUGCUGGGCUGGGGCUGAGUGUCUGCCGAAGGCUUCCAUAACAUCCAUUUUGCUGGGAUACACCCACACCAGGCUCUGCAUGCGGAGGUGGAGGGGAGACAGAGGAUGGAGGGUUGAGUGGUGAUGGCCACCAAGGUUGGAAAUUAGACCCAGAAAGAGGCUGCCGCUCUUUGGUUAUCUCUAGUGGGUACCGCUUCUCCCCAGGGCUAUAUCUGACAGCAAUAACCAAGGCAGUAUCAAAGUGAUGGUGAGAUGCUGACAGAAUCUUUUAAGAGUAGAUGUCACUAUCAAUUGCCAAAGACCGCCCAGGUUGGAACCUAAAUUUGGGAGGAUGGGAGGCAAAAUCAGGGAGCUCAGCAGGUCUAUCUAGUAUCCCAAAUAGCUAGAUAUAGAUAGCAGGUCUGUCUAGCAUCACUCAAUCCAGGUGCCCUGGCAUUGUCUCAUUGUUUUACGGAGUCAACUUUCUGGCAAAAACUCCUGCUAGCCAAAUGGCCAUGGUUCUUGCGCUCCAAGGGGAAAGACAUGAAACGCAUGGGGUACAUUAUCUUCUGUCCCAGUAGUACCUUUGGAGUGUGAGCGAAUGGGCUGUGUUGGAUACCUUUCCAUAGUGGCUGAUAGGUAGAAGAAAUCUCCUGCCAGCCUAGGCGCCUAAUGGCUGGCAUUUCUAGACUCGAGAGCAGAUGCUGAGCUGCAGGGUGCAGCCCAUGGAAGUGUGGAGCCCUUUGGAGGGUUCUUUCCAUGACUGCAUCCUCAGGCAAACAAGGAAAAAAGGUGAUCUCUUGUCUUAAAAGACAAGCCCAACAAAGCCAAGGUGAACAAAAAGCUUGAACAGAGUUCAGUGGAGAGAGAAGCAGAAAGGGGUGGAGGGGAAGACAAUAAAACUGUGAGUUCAGACCAGAAAAAACAACUUCUUAGCUGUAUGCUUGAAUUGACUCCUUUGUUAACCUGGUGGAGAGGAGCAAAGGAAGGAGAAGGAAAGCUCAUCACUUCAUUAUGGUCCUGCAUCUGACUCCACAGGCCAAAGAGGUCAAGUGUGAGAUGGAGACGGAAAGCAUGAAGGCCACUUUCCCUAACUUGGCGGCCUCCAGGUGUGUCGGGCUGCGACUCCCCUCAUUCCCAGAUGGCAUGGGCUUAUUUGCCUGAGUAGUUAGGCCCCAAAAUGGGACAAUGCCAACAGUACUGCUGGCUGGAAAGCGAUAGUCUACUGGAGGCCAUUGAGGCAGGUGGCCUUAAGAGAAAGAAAAGACGCACUCAGCCAAGGUGCCCUGGUAUUGUCUCAUUGUUUUAUCCAGAGAUCCCGACCCAUGGGCCAUAAGCCUGGGCUGCUUUGGGAAGCCCAAGUUUUUAAAUGUAUUUUUUAAAUAGCGACAUCUCAUUAAAGUGACCUUACAGAGCCAACUAACUCAAUCUUUGGAAGCACUGUGUCACAUCACUUGAGGGGGGUCCAUAUCACCUUUCUUGAACCACAGUGGCCUUUCUAAGCAGACCCUUAAUGCUCUCCACUCUACCUCCAAUGCUUUACAGACCCCAUCCCCACUCCCAUAAGUUACAUGCUCUCCAUAGAUUGGGACUGGAGGCGCUCUAGAAAGAUCAUUUUUUGCUCAACUGCUUUUUCUCUCCAUUGCAUCCCAGUACAGGAGGAGACCCUUGUGGAGCCAGAUCUCUUUUGCCGCCGCCACAACCAUCCUGGGGCCCAGAUCUCCCUCCUGCAACUCUUAGCCUGUGGCCAGCAGAGGGCAAGGCAAUGACACUUCUUUGGAAGACACAUCUACAAGAAGAGGCCCGUUUCAUUGUUUGCACGGCCACAGUCCUUCCAUGUGGCAAAACUUGGAUUCAGAGAUGUCCCUGAGGAACACAGACCAAAGGCUGGUGUGGGAUCCUUUCCACCGUGGCACCUCACUUGGAGAAGGACACAGGAGCUUCUCUCUAGCAGGCUGGGAAAGGAGCCAAGGUGGUGAAAUGCACCUCCUCUCCUCCUGCCUCCGUCACCUUGGCCUUUCCCCUGGAGACUGGAUACAUGAGCUGCUUGUGGAAGGAACCUCUUGUAUUUGCAGCCUCUGCCACCGCCUCCACCUCUUGCCACCAGCAGCUAAGGAAGGGAUACCUGCCUCUCCUGAGCUGAUUUGUCAUCCACAAAGCAGGAGCUGCAAACCAAAAUAGUACCACUGCGACCUCCUGCAAAAGAACAAGCACAACAAAAUAAAGGCAGGGAUGCAUUUGCAGCAAUGUAAAUGGUUGAAGAAGUGAUAGUCACUAUUUCUUUACACAGACAUACCUCAACACACACAAAGGCUGAGACAUUUUCUGUUAGCAAGAAGAUACCAUUUUGACUUCCUAAGGUGAGAGAUACAAUGUGAGUGGUGCAACUUUUGUGCAUUCUGUGAAGAUGCUAGGCACAGAUGCUGGCGAAACGUCAGGAAUAAACUCUUCUAGAACAUGGCCACAUAGCCUAAAAAACCCACAAAAAACUAUGGAUGCCGGCCAUGAAAGCCUUCGACUUCACCUGUAUUGGGCGCUUUGUGUCCAUGCACAUUUAAUCUUAGCUUUCCCUUUUAUUAUUUAUGUUUGCUCAUAUACCAUCGUGACCUCCUGCAAAAAAACAACCACAAAAUAAAGGCCACUGGAAAGGAGGGAUGCGGGUUUUGAAAAAGAAGAUGAUGAUGCUGCACUAACAUCUAGGUGGUAGCAUGGAUCAUCAGCCUUGCCUUUUCUUUUACUGUGUUGUUAUCCACCCUCAAGAAGACCUCAGUCCAUGGUGAAACAUCUCCAAGUUAAUAUGGGCCUCGGUGGGAGAAAAAAUGAGGGAUUUGGGAGAGGAAAGCCCACCCAUGAGAUAAGAUUGUGUUAGUUAGCGUGUGGCUUCAAGGGUGCAUCUACACUCUGCAAAUAAUGCAGUUUGAUGGCACUUCAAUUGCCAUGGCUCCACCCUAUAGAAU